rnacentral:rRNA from 1 species
CAGUUUAUACCGUAGCUUGCUACACCAUAGACUGUGAGUUGCGAACGGGUGAGUAACGCGUAGGUAACCUACCUAUUAGAGGGGGAUAACUAUUGGAAACGAUAGCUAAUACCGCAUAACAGUAUGUAACACAUGUUAGAUGCUUGAAAGAUGCAAUUGCAUCGCUAGUAGAUGGACCUGCGUUGUAUUAGCUAGUAGGUAGGGUAAUGGCCUACCUAGGCAACGAUACAUAGCCGACCUGAGAGGGUGAUCGGCCACACUGGGACUGAGACACGGCCCAGACUCCUACGGGAGGCAGCAGUAGGGAAUCUUCGGCAAUGGGGGGAACCCUGACCGAGCACCGCCGCGUGAGUGAAGAAGGUUUUCGGAUCGUAAAGCUCUGUUGUUAAGGAA